rnacentral:rRNA from 1 species
UACGUAGGGAGCAAGCGUUGUCCGGAUUUACUGGGUGUAAAGGGUGCGUAGGCGGCUUUGCAAGUCAGAUGUGAAAUCUAUGGGCUCAACCCAUAAACUGCAUUUGAAACUGUAGAGCUUGAGUGAAGUAGAGGCAGGCGGAAUUCCCCGUGUAGCGGUGAAAUGCGUAGAGAUGGGGAGGAACACCAGUGGCGAAGGCGGCCUGCUGGGCUUUAACUGACGCUGAGGCACGAAAGCGUGGGUAGCAAACAGGAUUAGAUACCCCAGUGACUGACU